GGCUGGGUGGCGCAAUGGUAGCGCGUUGGUUUUCGGUUCCGGUUCCUUCCAAGGUUCUGGGGUUAACUACCAAAGGCUGCGGGUUCGAGCCCCGUCUCAGUCA